rnacentral:rRNA from 1 species
AUUGAACGCUGGCGGCAGGCCUAACACAUGCAAGUCGAGCGGAUGAAGGGAGCUUGCUCCUGGAUUCAGCGGCGGACGGGUGAGUAAUGCCUAGGAAUCUGCCUGGUAGUGGGGGAUAACGUCCGGAAACGGGCGCUAAUACCGCAUACGUCCUGAGGGAGAAAGUGGGGGAUCUUCGGACCUCACGCUAUCAGAUGAGCCUAGGUCGGAUUAGCUAGUUGGUGGGGUAAGGGCCUACCAAGGCGACGAUCCGUAACUGGUCUGAGAGGAUGAUCAGUCACAUGGGAACGGAGCAGCGGUCAAGCUCCCUCCGGGGGCGGCAAGGGGGCAAUUUUGGACAAGGGCGGAAGUCUUGACCAAACCGGCCGGGGUGGGGAAAAAAGGUUUUUGGAUUGAAAGGAUUUUUAGGUGGGGGGAAAGGGAAUUAAUUUAAUACCUUGCUUUUUUGACUUUCCCAAAAAAAAAAGCACCGGCUAACUCCGUG